CUGGGGCUGUGGAAUUGGGCUAGGUGAACCCUUCUGAUCAAAGUUCAGAGGGAAGGGGUCACUAACAGGGUGAGGCGUAGGGGUUGGAGAGGCGGCCAAGGCUGAGAACCCGAGAGCCUUGGAUCGCGAAGGAACGCACAAUGACUUAGCAACGAAUCCAACGUGGGAGUCAGGAAGUGGAAGCUCACCACCCGUGUUCUAGGAACACAUUUUAGGAAGAGCUUCAGACAUAGAUCCCCAGUCCGUCGCUGUCCCUGCCUCUGCCUCUCUGGAUGGCCAGAAGGAGCCCGUUGUCAGGUACCAACACCAGAAACAGAGGCUGCCAUCUUCAAGAUCACUGCUGCCCUGGAGCAGGGAGUGGGUCUAGUGUAAAUUAAUACACAAAGAUCUCCUACUGCAUUUCAGUGUCCUUCCUCAUGGUUAGUUACUCACUUGCAUGCUAUAAAGCUUUAACUAUCUCCCAGA